UGGAGCCUGCAGUGACCAUCUCCCCAGCUAAGACAGAGGUCAGCCAUCACAAUUUGCUGGUCUGUUUGGUGACAAAUUUCUUUCCUUGCCAAGUGAAACUCAGAUGGUUCCAGAAAAAACAGGAGCAGACUGCUGGAGUUGUAUCCACACCUAUUCAGAAUAGGGAUUAGACCUACCAGAUUCUUGUAAUGCUAGAAAUAAUACCCGAGCAUGGAGAUGUCUACACCUACCAUCUGGAGCACCCCAGCCUCCAGAGCCCCAUCACGGUAGAAUGACGGACACUGUCUGAAUCUGCCCAGAGGAAGAUGCUGAGUGGCCUUCGGGGUCUUGUGCUGGGGCUGAUCUCUCUUGGUUUG
rnacentral:lncRNA from 1 species